CCCUUUUACAUUUAACAGUGAGUGUCAAGGACCCACAUUGCUAAAUGUAGGUCACAAAUAACAAGGAUCCGAAUGGUUAUACCUUGUUCUUAAUGACGUGUGUGCUACCAUAGUGUGGAACUUCAUCCUUUAUAGCUGUCUUUGUUAUAUUUGUGACUUGUGCAGGCUUUUGUUAUAAAAAUUGCAAUCAAAGUUUUUGUAAAUACAUGUAUAAUAAAUUUUGUUAUAAAUUUUUAUCAAAUU
rnacentral:misc_RNA from 1 species